ACAUAUAGUAGAUAUAUUGAUAGAUACAUUCAUUAAUAUUUUCCCAAGCUAUUUAUUAUUAUUUAUUAAUUUUAAUAGUCUUCUAUAAUAAAAUAUUCUUUAUGGACGUUGUGUGUGUGUUUAUUUGAACAAUUGCACAGGAAUUAAAAGAAUACCAAAAUAUAAUCAUAAUUUUAAUUUAUUUCAAAUAUUAUAUGCGCGUACAUAUACUCCGUUCUUUUAGGCAACAAUAUAAACACUUAUAUCGAUUAAUUAACAAUUAUUUUUUUUAAUGCACUAAUGCAUUCUACGUAUAUUACAAGAAAAUUGUAACCCUCGAAGUCAUCACUUCGCAGAAACGGUGGCUUAUUCUUUUUAUACACAUGCGCAUCGUUCGGAAAAUCAUAUAAACAAUAUUGAAUAAAAGAAUUUACUUAAAGGACAAAGGUCCAGUUUGAAGGGGAAUUUCGAAGAGGACGCUUGUUUUAACACAUAUACACAUAUAUACUGAUUUAAACAUUGCAUACUACUUAACAUAUUUUGAAUAUUAAAUAAUUUUGAUGUGAUAUUCUUUUGGAUGAAUAUUCCCCCCCACCCCUCGAAGUCAUCACUGCAGAGGAAUGUUAAAAUAAAUAUACAUCAGUUUAAUUCCAUGUACAUUAGUUUAAUUACACGUAGAAAAAAGUGGUUAUUUUAAUUUAAUAUAAGUGUCAUUAAAAACCGUUCACUCUAAUUGUAAGUAUAAAAAAUCUUAACGCGAACUAUUAAAAAAAAAUGACAAUAAUCUGGACCUGGAUUGGAAAGUAAUGUUUUAAAAUCAGAAAAAAGGAUCAGAAUACGACAUUACGUUAGAAGUAAAACUUUUUGAAUUUUUCUCGGCUUCAGUUGCUCCAUCAGUGAAUUGUAAAGUAUUAAGAAAAGAGAAAGAUUAUAGCUGAAACAAAAAAAUUAUUUUAUGCAUAAUUGAUUUAUUUUAAAAUAAAAAUUGUAAUGUCUCGGAUCCCUUAAUGUUUAAAUCUAUUAAUGAGCCAUUUUUAUAUACAUACACAUAUAUAUUUAUCAUAUUCAGUAUAAUUAUUAUUAAUUAAAUAUAAUAUUGUUUUUAAAACAAAUUGAUUUAUUUUUAAGAAUAGGAAUAUCUUUUUAAUAUAGAUUUUAAAUUAUUAUACGAAGUUAUAUUAAUAACAAUUGAGGAAAUGUUGAUUAACAUGCUUAAAUUGAAGAAUGACAUACUUUUAAUUUGGCCCUAAAUAUAAAAAUAUAAGAACCUAAAUACAUAGAUACCUAUAAAAGAACAUUGGUUUUGAUCACAGACAAGAUAUAAUUUAAUAGUAUGCUCUACAAUAUUUCUUGAUUUCGAUUUUUUAAAUACAAACUUUACACUCGCUAUGUUAUUUGUCAUAUGUUAUAUACAUACAUGACAUGUAAAGUGUGACACUGAAUACAGUAAUAAAAAACAUCUAUGAUAAAUGUCAUAUUUUACAUAGUAGGCAUAAUAUACUCAUGAUAUCAUAUUUAUUGAUUACAAACAAGACAGAGAAGAGAUAUUAUUUUUAAGAUAUAGUAAAUAAGUAAGAGUUUGUCGAUAAAAUGUCUAUGUUAAACAUCACAUAUGUUUUCCAAUCAAAUUUGAUACAUUCACUACAAUUAUUAUGAUCAUAAUAUAGUGUGUCUAAUGCUAUAUGUAAAUAAAAGUUUCUAUA